ensembl:lncRNA
UCAAAAUAAAAUUAAUUUAAUACAUGAAAAAAUAACCAGAAACCAUUUCCCCACUGGACUGCAGAAGCACAAAAGACCUUUCUACUUGAUGUUUAGUCAAGUUUUUAUUUCAGAAGUAGCAAAAAGAAACACAUACAUAUUAGUGUAGGUUCAGUCCCCUCACAUAUUUGCCAGCACUGAUUCCUCAGCCAUCUAUAUUGAAAGCAGGAUGCUGAUUGCUUGUGCUUCAUUGGACAAAUAACUGUUUUCUUCUUUCAUAGAGGCAAUAAAUGAUAACAGCUUAGCUCAUAGAAAAAGGACAAGGAAUACCAGUUUUGUUCUGAAACAUUGAAAGCUGUAUUGACUUCUGGAUUCUGCCAUCUACAGAAAUUCCGGACCUAUUCUUACUAUCCAUCGACUGAUUGCAUCCAUCGCUACCCAUCUUCCACCUAUCUGUAACCAUCCUCCUUGUUCUGAAAAUAAUACGUACCUUCAAGCUCCUUGAUAAUACAUAGCGUGGAUGUUCCCACUCCUGCUUCCAGGCAUAAGCUUCAGGCGAGCUUGUUUCAGGCUGUGAGAAUGGAUGAGGACAGCUGGAGCCAAUGAUGUUCUGCUGCUCAGCCAGAUCCUGGUGUCAUCACUGGGCAGCCCUACACUGGAAACUUGUCCCACUUCCCCUAUCUAUCUUCAUGUUGUGGCACACGAAGGCUUUUGGAUUUUCCAGCACUACAGGAUUAAAGGAGACAACCUUCUUCAUCUGGAGCAUCAGUUCCUGAGUGAACGUCCUGGACCAAAAUGAGGACCUGGGAAAUGAGGACCUUGCCGCAGGCCUCCUUGUGUGUUCAGCUUCUGCCCACAGAGGAACAUCUGAUUUGCCACUGCUCCUGCUGUUUUCUUGGGAAAUGUAAUUGUAGAACAGCUACCUAGAAUCUGUCUGGAACGAGCAGAGGGUGUAUGAAACAAAGCCUUUUCCUGAGCCCAAACCGUAUCCCAAAAAGGCAACAUAGAUGGCCCUAGCCGAAUUGCUGGGCCAUUGACACUGCUUCGCUAAUAGGCAGCUUAAGCUGAAUGAUAGUAUUUCUGAAGUUCCACCCAUGCAAGUACAGAGCAGGCUGGAAUCCACCUAACAUGGGAGACCAAACGAGACUGGACGCAUUCAGGCUGAUAUGGCCGUAGAUUACUCACAAAAUUCUGGUAGCUUCUUGGCUUCUUGAACUGAAUGAUACUAUUGACAAAGUUCCUGUUAUGUAUGUACUGAAGAGGCCAGAUGCUGCUUCACUUCCGAGAACAGAUGAAAUCGGGCAGGUUGAGGGUGGUAUGGCUGAAGAUUACUCACAAAGUUUCUGGUAGCUUCUCCUGAUUCAGUAAUAGGUUUUUUGAAGUGAAUGAAAGUGUUCACCAAGUUCCUGUGCUGUAUGAUCUACAGAGGCCAGACCCUGCCUAACUUCGGAGACCAAACGAGAUUGGGCACGUUCAGGCUGGUAUGGCUGUAGAUUACUUAGAAAGUUUCUGGUGGCUUCUCUCGCUUUGGUAAUAGGUUUUUUGAAGUGAUUGAAAGUGUUCACAGAGUUCCUGUGCUGUACGUACUACAGAGGCGAGACCCUGCCUGUCUUUAGAGACUAAAUGAGAUUGGGUGCAUUCAGGCUGGUACGCUUGUACAUUGCUCAGAAAGUUUCUGGUAGCUUCUUCCACUUCAGUGAUAGGUUUCUGGAAGUGAAUGAAAGUGUUCACAAAGCUCCUGUGCUGUAUGUACUAUAGGGGCCAGACCUCGACCAAUUUUGGAGACUAAACGAGAUUGGGCGCAUUCAGCCUGGUAUGGCUUUAGAUUACUCACAGAGUGUCUGGUAGCUUGUCCCACUUCAGUAAUAGGUUUUCCAAAGUGAAUGAAAGUGUUCACAAAGUCCUGUGCUGUAUGUACUACAGAGGCCAGACCCUGCCUAACUUCAGAGACCAAACGGGAUUGGGCGCAUUCAGGCUGCUAUGGCUGUAGAUGACUCAGAAUGUUUCUGGGGGCUUCUCUCGUGUCACUGAUAAGUUUUUUAAAGUGAAUGAAAGUGUUCACAAAGUUCCUGUGCUGUAUGUACUACAGAGGCCAGACCCUGCCUAGCUUCAGAGACCAAACGGGAUUGGGCGCAUUCAGGCUGCUAUGGCUGUAGAUGACUCAGAAAGUUUCUGGUGGCUUCUCUCGCUUCACUGAUAAGUUUUUUAAAGUGAAUGAACGUGUUCACAAAGUUCCUGUGCUGUAUGUACUAUAGAGGCCAGACCCUGCCUAACUUCAGAGACCAAACGGGAUUGGGCGCAUUCAGGCUGGUAUGGCUGUAGAUUACUCAGAAAGUUUCUGGUGGCUUCUCUCACUUCACUAA